UAGAGGCCUACCAUGGUGGUAACGGGUAACGGGGAAUUAGGGUUCGAUUCCGGAGAGGGAGCCUGAGAAACGGCUACCACAUCCAAGGAAGGCAGCAGGCGCGCAAAUUACCCAAUCCCGACACGGGGAGGUAGUGACAAUAAAUAACAAUACGGGGCUCUUUCGGGUCUCGUAAUUGGAAUGAGUACAAUUUAAAUCCCUUAACGAGGAACAAUUGGAGGGCAAGUCUGGUGCCAGCAGCCGCGGUAAUUCCAGCUCCAAUAGCGUAUAUUAAAGUUGUUGCAGUUAAAAAGCUCGUAGUUGAAUUUCGGGAUUGACACAUCGGUCGUGCCUUAAGGGGUAUGAACUGGUGUAGUCAAUUUCUCACCUUCUGGAGAACCGCGAUGCCCUUAAUUGGGUGUCACGGGGAACCAGGACCUUUACUUUGAAAAAAUUAGAGUGUUUAAAGCAGGCAUUUUGCUUGAAUACAUUAGCAUGGAAUAAUAAAAUAGGACGGCAUGAUUCUAUUUUGUUGGUUCCUAGGAUCACCGUAAUGAUUAAUAGGGAUAGUUGGGGGCAUUAGUAUUUAAUUGUCAGAGGUGAAAUUCUUGGAUUUAUGAAAGACUAACUUCUGCGAAAACAUUUGCCAAGGAUGUUUUCAUUAAUCAAGAACGAAAGUUAGGGGAUCGAAGACGAUCAGAUACCGUCGUAGUCUUAACCAUAAACUAUGCCGACUAGGAAU
rnacentral:rRNA from 1 species